rnacentral:rRNA from 1 species
AGAUUGAACGCUGGCGGCAUGCCUUACACAUGCAAGUCGAACGGCAGCACGGGAGCAAUCCUGGUGGCGAGUGGCGAACGGGUGAGUAAUACAUCGGAACGUGCCCAAUCGUGGGGGAUAACGCAGCGAAAGCUGUGCUAAUACCGCAUAAGAUCUACGGAUGAAAGCAGGGGAUCGCAAGACCUUGCGCGAAUGGAGCGGCCGAUGGCAGAUUAGGUAGUUGGUGAGGUAAAGGCUCACCAAGCCUUCGAUCUGUAGCUGGUCUGAGAGGACGACCAGCCACACUGGGACUGAGACACGGCCCAGACUCCUACGGGAGGCAGCAGUGGGGAAUUUUGGACAAUGGGCGAAAGCCUGAUCCAGCCAUGCCGCGUGCAGGAUGAAGGCCUUCGGUUGUAAACUGCUUUGUACGGAACGAAAGUCUAUUUACUAAUAAAGAGGAUCAUGACGUACCGUAAGAAGUAAGACAACCGACUAACUACGUACG